CCAAGAUUUUAGCCCCGAAUAGGAGACAUGAUCCCAAGCCGAUUCUUAACAUGUACCCCCUCUUCUAGGUCCAUCACAAGGAAAACAAAAAUCAAGAUUUGCUUUAUCCGGUAUCAAACGGGAGCUACGAGCAAAUAGAACACCUUUCAGGAGUAUCAAUACCAUGACAUGAAUCGUAAAUGCAUGGAUGUGAUGUACCAAAAAAUCCACGGUCCUUAACGGAAUAGGUAACAAAGCCACUUUGCCACCCACUACUACUAAAUCACCACCUCCCAAGUCGUGGCGUC
rnacentral:lncRNA from 1 species